AUCCCCUGAGUAUACAAGUACAGAUAACUUCCACUUAUCAAGCCUUAGCCAGCUCUAAGAGGGGGUA
rnacentral:tRNA from 1 species